GGGGGGAGCCGGUCCACGGCGCCCUGGGGGCCCCCCCAGCUGGGGGGAGCCGGUCCACGGCGCCCUGGGGGCCCCCCCAGCUGGGGGGAGCCGGUCCACGGCGCCCUGGGGGCCCCCCCAGCUGGGGGGAGCCGGUCCACGGCGCCCUGGGGGCCCCCCCAGCUGGGGGGAGCCGGUCCACGGCGCCCUGGGGGCAUCCUGAGCUGGGGGAGCCGGUCCACGGCGCCCUGGGGGCACCCCGAGCUGGGGGGUCCGGCCCACGGCAGGACCCAGCACCCCGCCGCGCACCCAUCGGCCCCGGGAGGCUCCCCACGCCCCCUCGUGGUCGCCGCGCGCCGCCGCGUCUGUGGCCGCUCCGCCGGGUACCUCGGCCACACCCGGGCUGCGGACACGAGUGCGCCUGACCCGAGGCCCCGCGAGCCCCUCCCCGAGGCCGCUCUGGGCCCCCGACCUCCCCCGACCCCCCGGAACCCCGGAACCGCGGCUGGUCGGCGCCCGCGGGCCCGGGGGUGGGGGCGCUGCGAGCGGGGACGCGGCUCCGAGGGCGCCCGGGGGGCGGGGCCGCGCCCGCUCCGACCCGGACCCGGACACGGCUGGGGAGGCAGCGCCCCCCGGUGGUCACCGCCCGCUCGGCAUCGGCAGCUGCGUCCGUCGGGGGCGCCGCGGUCUCCGGACCCACGGUCCCCUCGGGUACUAAUUUUGACACAGCAGGUGUGGAUGGCUUGUGACAGGACAAAGCAGGAAGGAGGACGUGGAGUCCAGCCAACUGGGCCCUGGUGGUCCCUUUGUGCCCAGUGGCCACCUGCUGCAAACAGUAAACGGGAGACUCCCAACAGCGGAGAAGUCUGGUGCUCGCGGUUGGACAUGGAUCCCCGCACUCCCUGUGGGUCCCCAGGCCCUGGCGGGCAAUGAGGCAGCAAGUGAAGGGGCCCCACAGGCCGCUGUGCCUCCAAACAGUUCUGGAGACGUGUCCAGAGACUCAGGGGGGACGAAAAUGCAAACAGCUUUAGCCAAGCUUGCACAGAUGCCUCGUCACUGCACAUUCCUAGAAAACGGAUGCCUCAGCUCAUACCUUAAGUUUCUAGAAGGAUUGAGGCUUCCUGAAGCCUGGGGGGGGCGGGGACUGCGGCCGAGGCGCCAGGACCUGGGACCCUCUGGAAGCGUGAGCAUGGGAGCUGGAUCGAGCCAUUCCUGAGGCCCGCCGGGUCCACCCUGCCUGUCUGGUUCCAUGAUCUGAGAAAUCCCGCUCUCGUGAUUCAGGGCAAGAGGGUAGGAUUUUUCUUUACUGGUAACCAAGUGGGUCCUCUUACAGGGGCUUACAAGGGCUUGUGAAGACCUCCCGAAGAGAGUGGACAUGGGCUACCAAGCUGGCGACACCGGGGGCAACGGCCACGGGCGAUCGAUUGGGGUGGGGGUGGCCACCCGACUCUUAAGAGAGUUGGAGAAACUGGGUGCUUGAGGUACUGAAUGCUGGGUGCUUGGGGUACUGAAUGCUGGGUGCAGGCUGCGCCAACGCACUGUGGGUCGCAAAAGGUCUGCCGCCCCAGCCUCGCCCCCCGCCCCCCCGCGCCCUGGGCCACCCCGCCNNNNNNNNNNNNNNNNNNNNNNNNNNNNNNNNNNNNNNNNNNNNNNNNNNNNNNNNNNNNNNNGCCACCCCGCCCCCGCCCCGCCCAGGGCACACCCAGAGACAAACAGCUGCUCAGCAUUGUAAUGAGUGUUUUCCUCUCCCGGGAGACACUGAGCCUGGCUCACACACCCUCUAGCCCAAGGGGCACAAUGGACCCCGCGAAGCUCUGAGAGCUAAGACUAUGGUGUGGACCUCUGCCACCUACACCAGAUCGAUCACUUUUAGUGACUGUUGAAGAUGCAGACUCCUGGGCCACAGCUCCACCCACUGAAUCAUAAUCUCAGCUGUGGACCCAAGAAUCUGCGUGUUUUAAUAGGCUCCUCGGGCAUGUGGAAAUUUGACAGCUACUCCCCUAAGCCCGACAGGAGACAUGUGUCUAAGGGAGACAUGGUCAUCUCCUGUGGCAAAACUGUGUUCUGUGGAGAAACAGCGAUGACCAGGACCCAUCAGGUCCUCUCGGAGUUAGAGCUGCAUGGAGGUAAGCCCCAAGUGCUCAUCCCUGAUGGCACAAACUCUCAAACCAUGAAUGUAUAAAGCGAUCCAGGACUGGAAAGUUCGUAGGCACCUCAUGGAAAUAAACGUGAAUCCUCUCUGAAGGAAGAAAUCA
rnacentral:lncRNA from 1 species